rnacentral:ncRNA from 1 species
AAAGAAAGAGGUCGCAAUUUUUAAGAGUAAUAUUUUGUUAGCAGAUUAUUGCAAAAUACGAAAGGAAAAAUUGCCGAAAUUUAAAAGAAGAUCUGAUUCUUUUAAGUUGGGCUAAUGCAAAACAUGUAUUAGACUGUCACAGAAAUGUGGAGUGCUUUCG